rnacentral:tRNA from 1 species
GCGGUUUGUGGCGAAGUGGUUUAAGCACCGGAUUGGUGGCUCCGCAUUCGUGGUUCGAUUCCAUCAGUCGCCCCA